UCGACGGCAGCACAGGAGAGCUUGCUCUCUGGGUGGCGAGUGGCGGACGGGUGAGGAAUACAUCGGAAUCUACUCUGUCGUGGGGGAUAACGUAGGGAAACUUACGCUAAUACCGCAUACGACCUACGGGUGAAAGUGGGGGACCGCAAGGCCUCACGCGAUUGAAUGAGCCGAUGUCGGAUUAGCUAGUUGGCGGGGUAAAGGCCCACCAAGGCGACGAUCCGUAGCUGGUCUGAGAGGAUGAUCAGCCACACUGGAACUGAGACACGGUCCAGACUCCUACGGGAGGCAGCAGUGGGGAAUAUUGGACAAUGGGCGCAAGCCUGAUCCAGCCAUACCGCGUGAGUGAAGAAGGCCCUCGGGUUGUAAAGCUCUUUUGUUGGGAAAGAAAUCCUGUUGGCUAAUACCCGGCGGGGAUGACGGUACCUAAAGAAUAAGCACCGGCUAACUUCGUGCCAGCAGCCGCGGUAAUACGAAGGGUGCAAGCGUUACUCGGAAUUACUGGGCGUAAAGCGUGCGUAGGUGGUUGCUUAAGUCUGUCGUGAAAGCCCUGGGCUCAACCUGGGAAUUGCGAUGGAUACUGGGCGACUAGAGUGUGGUAGAGGGUGGCGGAAUUCCCGGUGUAGCAGUGAAAUGCGUAGAGAUCGGGAGGAACAUCCGUGGCGAAGGCGGCCACCUGGGCCAACACUGACACUGAGGCACGAAAGCGUGGGGAGUAAACAGGAUUAGAUACCCUGGUAGUCCACGCCCUANACGAUGCGAACUGGAUGUUGGNUUCAACUUGGAACCCAGUAUCGAAGCUAACGCGUU
rnacentral:rRNA from 1 species